rnacentral:rRNA from 1 species
AUUGAACGCUGGCGGCAGGCCUAACACAUGCUAGUCGAGCGAGCGGCGGACGGGUGAGUAAUGUCUGGGAAACUGCCUGAUGGAGGGGGAUAACUACUGGAAACGGUAGCUAAUACCGCAUACCAUCAGAUGUGCCCAGAUGGGAUUAGCUAGUAGGUGGGGUACCGGCUAACCUAGGUGACGAUCCCUAGCUGGUCUGAGAGGAUGACCAGCCACACUGGAACUGGGGCACGGUCCAGACUCGUACGGGAGGCAGCAGUGGGGAAUAUUGCACAAUGGGCGCAAGCCUGAUGCAGCCAUGCGGCGUGUGUGAAGAAGGCCUUCGGGUGGUAAAGCACUUUCAGCGGGGAGGCGUUACCCGCAGAAGAAGCACCGGCUAACUCCGUGCCAGCCGCCGCGGUAAUAC